rnacentral:rRNA from 1 species
UACGUAGGGGGCUAGCGUUGUCCGGAUUUAUUGGGCGUAAAGAGCGUGUAGGCGGCCAUGUAGGUCCGGUGUGAAAACUCGAGGCUUAACCUCGAGAUGUCAUCGGAAACCAUUUGGCUAGAGUCCGGAAGAGGAGAGUGGAAUUCCUGGUGUAGCGGUGAAAUGCGCAGAUAUCAGGAGGAACACCAAUAGCGAAGGCAGCUCGCUGGGACGGUACUGACGCUGAGGCGCGAAAGCGUGGGGAGCGAACAGG